CCAUGGUCCAAAGCACCCCAGUAACCAUGACGUUCCCUCCAGAUUCGUUAAGUUCAAUAAAGGCUGAGACCAGUGUAAACCCCCAACGCCACACACGUCAAAUACAGGAAACAGAAACCCCUCCUCACCAAUCGGCAUCACAGUCCUCCCAAAAUACGCCCCUAAAACCCACUGUCCCGCCCCGUCCCAGUCCCGUAAAGAUCACAAACAUCACAGUCCUUCUCUGAUUUGGGCUCCCCUACGUUCUAAGCAGGGCUCCCCCAACGCCGUGGUGAUAUAACCCAGCCACACUUGGGGAAGCAUCCUCCCCACAAGCCCCCACCCCUGUAAAUACAGCACAGCAACGGCUUCCACAGCGCCAAAAAGCCAGAAUAUAUAUUUGCUCAUGAGGACAAGGACUAUUGGGUACCACUGUAUUCCCAGCCCAUGGAAGAAUGCCUGUGAAAGAGUUCAGGACACACCACCCCAAUAUAUGCCCAUUUGAUAUGCUGAUUACUUCAAAUGGAGGGAAUUCAGGGGAACAGACUGCUUCAGCAGCAGGCUCCUGGCAUGCCUGACCAAACACUGGCCACAGAUAAGAUUUCCUCCCACAUUAGCCCCCCAGAUCCCUGCCUGUAGAGUCCAGCGGAAGCAAGAUAGAAGAGAAUCACAGGGCAAGAACACAGGCCUCAAAGACUGAGGCCUGACCGUGAUGGGAGCCCACCUGCCACACCACCUCCUGGAAUGAGACAGAACUGAUUAAUCGGACUGACCUAGUCCCAGGUCUCAUACUGUUCAAACACUAAUCUGAUUUUUCUGUCAUCCACCACCAAAUCAACUUUUAGCGUGUGGAACUUCUAGAGAAGUUUCAGAUAGGAGAAAUGAAGAAGUUCGAGAAAUGCCAAUCCCAAAAUACGCCCCUCUGAUACACUGAUUACUUCAAAUGGAGGGAACCUGGGGAACAGCAAGGGCAGGGAGGACUUUCUUUGACCUUCCCUUAUCUACCUAAACACAGAUCCUCCAAAGGGAACUCCAGUGUCAUGAAUCCCUUCCCCAGGAAUCUUCUCAAUCAGGGAAGAUGAGCUCAGAUCACAGGAGAUGAGAAUGGAGGUUGGCACCACGCCCAGAUCUAUUCUUCUGGGACAACUUUUCUUAACUAAGAGACUUAUAAUCUGCAUAACAAGACAACUUUUAUUCACCAUACACUUCCUCCCUGCACCCUCCCAUAAUUUAGGUCACCACCACCUCCCAGAAGCUGCAAGCCCCUCUUCUUUUCUGUAGCUCAGGAUGCUAUAUAAGCUUCAAUCAUCUGGCCCUUCUUUGAAUCUCAUAUAUUGUGGGGCUCCUGUGCAUACUUACAUAAUUAAAAUGAGUUUUUUCUCCUGUUAAUCUGCCUUAUGUCAAUUUAAUAUGUAGCCCAGUCAAAGAACCUAGAAGGGUAGAGGGAAGCCAUUUUUUGCUCCCCUACACCAGGCACAUAGUUGGGACUUGGGGAUCAAUAAAUAUUUGUUUACCAAAUGCGGUUUUGAUUAGGAAGGUUAAAGCUCUGUACUAUGCUGAUUUUUAUUCCACGUCUGAACGUGCCUAUUUACCGAGUUGGCCAGGCGCAGUGGCUCAUGCCUGUCAUCCCAGCACUUUGGAAAGCUGAGGUGGGCCGAUCACUUGAAGCCAGGAGUUCGAGACUAGCCUGCUACUAAACAUAUAAAAAAUUAGGUCAGGCGCGGUGGUUCAUGCCUGUAAUCCUAGCACUUUGGGAGGCCGAGGAGAGCAGAUCACCUGAGGUCAGGAGUUCAAGACCAGCCUGGCCAACAUGGCGAAACCCCGUCUCUACUAAAAAUACAAAAAUUAGCUGGGCAUAGUGGUGGGCACCUGUAAUCCCAGCUAAUCAGGAGGCUGAGGGAGGAGAAUCGCUUGAACCUGGGAGGCAGGGGUUCCAGUGAGCCAAGAUCGUGCCACUGUACUCCAGCCUGGGCAACACAGUCAGACUGUCUCAAAAAAAAAAAAGGUAGAUUUGAAAUAGCAAAAUCCUUACAACACAGCCUCCCACAUUAUUAAGAAAAACUGAAAUAAUAUUAACACCACCUGAUCUUUUUUUAGGUCAUCAAGAAAAAAAUUUCACAGCUGCCCAGUGGAUUUAUAAACUCUAUUCACACUUGCCACAAGAUGGCGGCACAUGAGCUGGCCAUCCCUGCAGAAACCCAGCUAUGUCUUGCAGGCAUCAAGUCUUCCUAGAGCAAUUUGGGGGACCAUUCUAUUUGAACAUUCACUGUCUAAAAGGAAGCUCUUACACGACCCCUAAAUGCAACAUGUUAAGUCAAGUCACCAGGGUGUCUCGGAAAAGAUAAAUAAAUAAAUGCAACGUGUGAUCCUGAAUUGGUUCCAAGCCAGGAGAAAAAACAGCAAUAAGGAACGUUAUUGGGACAAUUGAUGAAAUUGGAACAUGAAUUGUGCAUUAGAUAAAAGUAUCAUGUCCAUGUUAAAUUUCUUGAUUUUGAUAGUUGUACUGUGCUUAUGAAAGAGAAUAUUCGGCCGGGCAUGGUGACCCGCGCCUGGAAUCCCAGCACUUUGGGAGGCUGAGGCAGGUGGAUCACCUGAGGUCAGGAGUUCAAAGACCAGCCAGCCCAACAUGGUGAAACCCCAUCUCUACUAAAGAAUACAAAAAUUAGCCAGACGUGGUGGUGGGCGCCUGUAAUCCCAGCUACUGGGGAAGCUGAGGCAGGAGAAUCGCUUGAACCCAGGUGAAGAAGGUUGCAGUGAGCCAAGAUCGCGCCAUUGCACUCCAGCCUGGGCGACAAGAGCAAAACUCUGUCUCAAAAAAAAAAAAAAAAAAAGGAAAGAGAAUGUUCUUGAUCUUAGGAACUACACACAAGUGUCCUGAGGUAAAGAAAGACACAUGAUGUUCUCCAACCUAAUUCUCAAAUGGCUCAUAACAUAAUAGAUAUAGAUGAUGCAUGUAUCCUUAUGGAGGGGAGAAGAGGGAACAGUAAGACAAAUG